rnacentral:rRNA from 1 species
GAUGAACGCUGGCGGCGUGCCUAAUACAUGCAAGUCGAGCGAAUGGAUUAAGAGCUUGCUCUUAUGAAGUUAGCGGCGGACGGGUGAGUAACACGUGGGUAACCUGCCCAUAAGACUGGGAUAACUCCGGGAAACCGGGGCUAAUACCGGAUAACAUUUUGAACCGCAUGGUUCGAAAUUGAAAGGCGGCUUCGGCUGUUACUUAUGGAUGGACCCGCGUCGCAUUAGGUAGUUGGAGAGGUAACGGCUCACCAAGGCAACGAUGCGUAGCCGACGUGAGAGGGUGAUCGGCCACACUGGGACUGAGACACGGCCCAGACUCCUACGGGAGGCAGCAGUAGGAAAUCUUCCGCAAUGGACGAAAGUCUGACGGAGCAACGCCGCGUGAGUGAUGAAGGCUUUCGGGUCGUAAAACUCUGUUGUUAGGGAAGAACAAGUGCUAGUUGAAUAAGCUGGCACCUUGACGGUACCUAACCAGAAAGCCACGGCUAACUACGUGCCAGCCGCCGCAGUAA